GUCCACGCCGUAAACGAUGAACACUAGGCGUAGUCGGUAUCGACCCCGGCUGUGCCGUAGCCAACGCAUUAAGUGUUCCGCCUGGGGAGUACGGCCGCAAGGCUAAAACUCAAAGGAAUUGACGGGGCCCGCACAAGCAGCGGAGCGUGUGGUUUAAUUCGUCGCAACGCGAAGAACCUUACCAGGGCUUGACAUGCACCGGAAAAACGGCGGAAAACGUCGUCCUCCCGCAAGGGAUCGGUGUGCAGGUGUUGCAUGGCUGUCGU
rnacentral:rRNA from 1 species